rnacentral:rRNA from 1 species
CAGUCGCCACGGUAAUACGAAGGGGGCUAGCGUUGCUCGGAAUUACUGGGCGUAAAGGGCGCGUAGGCGGACAGUUUAGUCGGGGGUGAAAGCCCGGGGCUCAACCUCGGAAUUGCCUUCGAUACUGGCUGUCUUGAGUGUGAGAGAGGUGCGUGGAACUCCGAGUGUAGAGGUGAAAUUCGUAGAUAUUCGGAAGAACACCAGUGGCGAAGGCGACACACUGGCUCACUACUGACGCUGAGGCGCGAAAGCGUGGGGGGCAAACAGGAUUAGAUACCCCUGUAGUCCCUGUCUCUUAUAC